rfam:Enterococcus hirae ATCC 9790, complete genome.
AACAGAGUAGAAAAUAAAGCGUUAAGUGCUGAGAGGAUGGGAUGUUGCCUCUUUGACGAAGGACAAGUUGUUCGCGGUUUUAUUUUCGCAUUCGCUGCA